rnacentral:rRNA from 1 species
AAUGAACGUUGGCGGCGUGGAUUAGGCAUGCAAGUCGUGCGAGAAGUCUUUUGCUUGCAUUAGACGGAAAGCGGCGAAAGGGAGAGUAACGCGUGGGUACCUACCUCUAGGUUCGGGAUAGCUGCGGGAAACUGUGGGUAAUACCGAAUAACAUCUCCGGAUCAAAGGUGUGAUUCCGCCUGGAGACGGGCCCGCGUGCUAUUAGCUUGUUGGGGGGGUAAUGGCUUACCAAGGCAAUGAUGGGCAUCGGGCGUGAGAGCGUGACCCGACUCACUGGGACUGAGACGCUGCCCAGACACCUACGGGUAGCUGCAGUCGAGAAUCUUCGGCAAUGGGCGCAAGCCUGACCGAGCGACGCCGCGUGCGGGAUGAAGGCCCUCGGGUUGUAAACCGCUAUCAGUUGGGAGGAAGUCACAUGGGGUUCUCUCCAUGUGUUGGCCUAUCUUCAGAGGAAGGACGGGCUAAGUUCGUGCCAGCCGCCGCCGUAA